rnacentral:rRNA from 1 species
AGGAUGAACGCUGGCGGCGUGCCUAAAACAUGCAAGUCAUACGGGCUACCUUCGGGUAGCCAGUGGCAAACGGGUGAGUAACACGUGGGAACGCGCCUUGGGGUGGGAAUAACGCUGAGAAAUCAGUGCUAAUACCGCAUACGGUCUAACGACUAAAGCAGCAAUGCGCCCCGAGAGCGGCCCGCGACCGAUUAGCUAGUUGGUGGGGUAAUGGCCUACCAAGGCGGUGAUCGGUAGCUGGUCUGAGAGGAUGGUCAGCCACACUGGGACUGCGAACGGCCCAGACUCCUACGGGAGGCAGCAGUUAGGAAUUUUCGGCAAUGGACGAAAGUCUGACCGAGCGACGCCGCGUGGAGGAUGACGCCUUUCGGGGUGUAAACUCCUUUUCUGCGGGAAGAUAAUGACGGUACCGCAGGAAUAAGCACCGGCUAACUACGUGCCAGCAGCCGC